GGCGAACGCUGGCGGCGUGCUUAACACAUGCAAGUCGAACGGAAAGGCCCUGCUUUUGUGGGGUGCUCGAGUGGCGAACGGGUGAGUAACACGUGAGUAACCUGCCCUUGACUUUGGGAUAACUUCAGGAAACUGGGGCUAAUACCGGAUAGGAGCUCCUGCUGCAUGGUGGGGGUUGGAAAGUUUCGGCGGUUGGGGAUGGACUCGCGGCUUAUCAGCUUGUUGGUGGGGUAGUGGCUUACCAAGGCUUUGACGGGUAGCCGGCCUGAGGGGGUGACCGGCCACAUUGGGACUGAGGUACGGCCCCGACUCCUACGGGAGGCAGCAGUGGGGAAUAUUGCACAAUGGGCGGAAGCCUGAUGCAGCAACGCCGCGUGCGGGAUGACGGCCUUCGGGUUGUAAACCGCUUUCGCCUGUGACGAAGCGUGAGUGACGGUAAUGGGUAAAGAAGCACCGGCUAACUACGUG
rnacentral:rRNA from 1 species